GUGCUCACUUCAACAGCACAUAUACUAAAAUUGGAAUGAUACAGAGAAGAUUAGCAUGGCCCCUGUGCAAGGAUGACAUGCAAAUUCAUGAAGUGUUCCAUAUUUUU
rnacentral:snRNA from 1 species